GAUGAACGCUGGCGGCGUGCCUAAUACAUGCAAGUCGAGCGAACAGACGAGGAGCUUGCUCCUCUGACGUUAGCGGCGGACGGGUGAGUAACACGUGGAUAACCUACCUAUAAGACUGGGAUAACUUCGGGAAACCGGAGCUAAUACCGGAUAAUAUAUUGAACCGCAUGGUUCAAUAGUGAAAGACGGUUUUGCUGUCACUUAUAGAUGGAUCCGCGCCGCAUUAGCUAGUUGGUAAGGUAACGGCUUACCAAGGCAACGAUGCGUAGCCGACCUGAGAGGGUGAUCGGCCACACUGGAACUGAGACACGGUCCAGACUCCUACGGGAGGCAGCAGUAGGGAAUCUGCCGCAAUGGGCGAAAGCCUGACGGAGCAACGCCGCGUGAGUGAUGAAGGUCUUCGGAUCGUAAAACUCUGUUAUUAGGGAAGAACAAAUGUGUAAGUAACUAUGCACGUCUUGACGGUACCUAAUCAGAAAGCCACGGCUAACUAAGUG
rnacentral:rRNA from 1 species